rnacentral:lncRNA from 1 species
CCCAGGUUAGAGGCGCCCAGGCUAGAAGGGCCCGGCUCUUGGCCCUCGCUGUCCUGCCCGCUGUCGCCGCUCUUUGGCGCCCCCGCAACAGCUCCCUCUCAGCAGGACGCGGAAAGGGCUUGUAUGUGUCCAGGAAGUCUAGUGAAUUCGACCAUGAAUCCAGACAUGGCCAGUGGCUAAAUCCUGUGGGAAGACACUGUGCUUCUCUCUGACCCAUGAACACUCUGCUAGUCAAGCUCUCUGUCACAAAGACAACUUGAAGAGACAGAGUGGACCUCACAGAAGAUACCAUCGUCACUCUUACCAAUGCAACUGUGGUGAACAGGACCACUAUUAUUCCUUAGAUCAAAAGGACAGCACAUUCAACAGCAUCCUCAUGGCAUGCCAGCAAUUUGCAUAGGAUGUUCACAAUUAAACUUUGAUUAUCUAGUGCUUUGUGGAUGUAUUAUGUAUUACAGAAAUCUAUUUG